AUCUUUUCCCGCGACGUCCCCGGCCCGAUGGAUCUCUCUUCCCUUCACGCGUGUAGCCCCAGCCGUCCCUGAUUCCCGUCCCUGCUGCUGAAGGCGCGAUCGCGAGCCCUGGUCGCGGUGGAGGAGGGAGACGCGGUGGAGGAGGGAGACGCGGGUGUCGUCGAUACGCCACUCCUCUCCCGGAUCGCGACCUCUCCUCUCCCGGUUCGACGCCCGAUCGCGGUGGAGGAGGGAGACGCGGGUGUCGUCGAUACGCCACUCGCGGUCGCCGCCUGCACCCAGGCCAUCCAUCAGAAUGGAAGGAGAAGAUGGAGAUUUCUUGUCCAACAUUCUUCUCCAUGGAGAAGGGGAUCAUGUUGCUGGUUUGGACGAGAUGCAUAUUCCAGACACUCAAGACAGUAGUCCUCGUAGUGAUGAAGUGCAGGCAAGCCGCACCACGAAGGGAGGAAAGAGGUCAAAAAAUUUUCAUUGGGAGGAGGAUGAAGUUGUUUGUUUGGGAUGGUUGGCUGUUAGAAUAGUUCACUUGAGGAGCUCUACCUUCCGCUAAGUUAUCAAACAAAGAAGACCUAUGAAAAACGUUGAUGUCAUUAUGAGACCCAGGCAUUUCAAAGAAUGCAUGCCAUAUCCAAAUAUCAUCCGAAGCAACAGCCUCCAAAAUGAUAGUGGGGUUGUCCGCAUGCCCCUUGUACUGACCUUGCUUGUCAUAUGGACAGUUCUUCCACGCCCAAUGCAUACAAUCGAUCGAUCCUAA